ACACUGUACCUCCUCAAUCGUCAUCAUCCAAUUUCAAUCGUUUUCAUCUUUUCAAGUAUAACCCAACGUAGGUGGUUUCCUUUCUUGUUGAGUAAAGCUUGCUGUGAAGCCUGUGGAAAUCUUAAAGCAGCAUUUCUUAUAGCAGUGGACAUUGACUACAUUUAACAACUUCAGUCCAAAGAACUUGUUGAGUUUGCGUGUUUUUUUAAGGUAAGUUAUUCAAC